AUUGAUUUUAUGCUUGCAUAAAUGAUUUUUGGAUUCGGAGCGAGUGGCGAACUGGUGAGUAACACGUGGGUAACCUGCCCCGAAGCGGGGGAUAACAUUUGGAAACAAAUGCUAAUACCGCAUAAUUAGUCAGAACCGCAUGGUUCCGACUUGAAAGAUGGCUCUGCUAUCACUUCGGGAUGGACCCGCGCCGUAUUAGUUAGUUGGUGAGAUAAAAGCCCACCAAGACGAUGAUACGUAGCCGACCUGAGAGGGUAAUCGGCCACAUUGGGACUGAGACACGGCCCAGACUCCUACGGGAGGCAGCAGUAGGGAAUCUUCCACAAUGGACGAAAGUCUGAUGGAGCAACGCCGCGUGAGUGAUGAAGGUUUUCGGAUCGUAAAACUCUGUUGUUAAAGAAGAACAAGUGUUAGAGUAACUGUUAACACUUUGACGGUAUUUAACCAGAAAGCCACGGCUAACUACGUGCCAGCAGCCGCGGUAAUACGUAGGUGGCAAGCGUUGUCCGGAUUUAUUGGGCGUAAAGCGAGCGCAGGCGGUUUUGUAAGUCUGCUGUGAAAGCCCUCAGCUCAACUGAGGAAGUGCAGUGGAAACUACAAAACUUGAGUACAGAAGAGGAAAGUGGAACUCCAUGUGUAGCGGUGAAAUGCGUAGAUAUAUGGAAGAACACCAGUGGCGAAGGCGGCUUUCUGGUCUGUUACUGACGCUGAGGCUCGAAAGCAUGGGUAGCGAACAGGAUUAGAUACCCUGGUAGUCCAUGCCGUAAACGAUGAAUACUAGGUGUUGGAGGGUUUCCGCCCUUCAGUGCCGCAGCUAACGCAUUAAGUAUUCCGCCUGGGGAGUACGACCGCAAGGUUGAAACUCAAAGGAAUUGACGGGGGCCCGCACAAGUGGUGGAGCAUGUGGUUUAAUUCGAUGCUACGCGAAGAACCUUACCAGCUCUUGACAUCUUCUGCCAACCCAAGAGAUUGGGCGUUCCCUUCGGGGACAGAAUGACAGGUGGUGCAUGGUUGUCGUCAGCUCGUGUCGUGAGAUGUUGGGUUAAGUCCCGCAACGAGCGCAACCCUUAUUAUUAGUUGCCAGCAUUUAGUUGGGCACUCUAGUGAGACUGCCGGUGAUAAA
rnacentral:rRNA from 1 species